GAAACCGUAAUUAAUACUCCAUAGUAUUCAAAAGACGCAUGUGUUGUGAAUUAAAGCUCCGGCGGUUAAAGAUAAGCAUGCGGGACAUUAGCUAGUUGGUAAGGUAACGGCUUACCAAGGCGACGAUGUCUAGGGGGCUUGAGAGGAUGAUCCCCCACACUGGUACUGAGACACGGACCAGACGCCGACGGGAGGCAGCAGUGAGGAAUAUUGGGCAAUGGGCGCAAGCCUGACCCAGCCAUGCCGCGUGCAGGAUGAAGGUCCUAUGGAUCGUAAACUGCUUUUGUAUGGGAAGAGCUUCCCGCAUUCGUGCGGGAUUGACGGUACUAUACGAAUAAGGACCGGCUAACUCCGUGCCAGCAGCCGCGGUAAUACGGAGGGUCCAAGCGUUAUCCGGAUUCACUGGGUUUAAAGGGUGCGUAGGUGGAACGAUAAGUCGAUGGUGAAAGCCUACAGCUUAACUGUAGAAUUGCCAUUGAUACUGUUGUUCUUGAGUAUAGUCGGGGGAAGUGGAAUGCGUAAUGUAGCGGUGAAAUGCAUAGAUAUUACGCAGAACACCGAUCGCGAAAGCAGCUUCCUAGGCUAUUACUGACACUGAGGCACGAAAGCGUGGGGAGCGAACAGGAUUAGAUACCCUGGUAGUCCACGCCGUAAACGAUGCUCACUCGCUGUUGGCGAUAUAUUGUCAGCAGUUAAGCUAAAGCAUUAAGUGAGCCACCUGGGAAGUACGUCCGCAAGGAUGAAACUCAAAGGAAUUGACGGGGGCCCGCACAACCGGUGGAACAUGUGGUUCAAUUCGAUGAUACGCGAGGAACCUUACCUGGGCUUAAAUGUAGUUUGGCUUCCGCCGAAAGGCGGUUUUCCUUCGGGACAAAUUACAAGGUGCUGCACGGCUGUCGUCAGCUCGUGCCGUGAGGUAUCGGGUUAAGUCCCUUAACGAGCGCAACCCCUAUUGUUAGUUACCAACAGCUUAAGCUGGGGACUCUAGCAAAACUGCCAGCGUAAGCUGGAGGAAGGUGGGGAUGACGUCAAGUCAGCAUGGCCUUUAUGUCCAGGGCUACACACGUGUUACAAUGGCCGAUA
rnacentral:rRNA from 1 species